UCCAGGCAUCUUUUGGUUGGAGUCUGCAUCCACAGUUCAGUACAGAGUUAGACGCCACACUGGUUUCUUUGCAGGUAAUAGUGAGAACACCUUUGGAAAAGAGCAGCACAGCAGUACUGGAAAUGGCAGUUGGCAAGACUUCCUGAAAGGAUUACAUUCAUGUUUCUGUCUUUUACAUGAAGAUUCAACAGCUACGUUUUUUUAAAAAGGACAAAUUGGAAUCAGUCGCUUCACUACAGUGCUUCUCCAGAUGGAAAUUGACAAGCAGUUGCGCUCCACUGGGUAAGCUCUGCAUGUCGUAGUCAUUGGGGAUGCUCUACGCCGAACAAAGUAUAGGUGAAGGAGAGAGAGAGGAGAAACAAUGACCUAUCAGCAACAGAUGAUCAGAAUCAAGUACCAGCCACCUUACCAGCCACAUCACCUGCAGCAAGUGAUGAGCCAGAGCCCAGCCACCAUCACGACACUUUGCAAGUCUCACUGCAUCUCUCUAAAGCAAGAUUUCGUUGGAGUCUUUCACAAGAGCGGGCGAGUUCUCAGCAAAGCUUUCAGCACCUUCCCUGGGGUUCCUUGGUGCCAAGCUACCUCUGGAGGUGUUCCAGGCGCUGGGAAUGACAGAAACCUUUGAUUUGCCAGUAAUCAGCUGGGGUACCUAUCGCCUCCCACAAUGCAGGGAUUAUAUGGUGAAGUUGCCUGUGAUGACCCAGGAGGUCCAUUUCAGCCUGAUGAUCUUGGUCCUUCUCCGUGCUGAUCCACACACAAAAUGUGAAUUGUCACAGUCCUCAGCUACAGAGUUUUAAAUCCAGCUAUCGUAGCUCGUGCUUUGAACUCGAGAGGUUGGUCUGCGGUUCAAUCCCACCGGGUCAGCCAAGAGGGCACUCGUCACACUGGAACAUUCUACAAACCAUUAAUCCUUCAGCUUCCUGGACAGAGAACCUAUAAAAGCCAGGGAAUUUCUAUUUACUUCGCUUCCCUCUGACAAUGCUUAGCGGUGGCAAGGUUUCAAAUGAGCCCUUUGAACAGUGGUUUAAAAUUAACUAAUUCAAACAGUGGUAACAAACCUGAACUCUGCGAGCUCUUGGGAUAUGUCACUGGGUUAGGGUGUGGGGAGUGAAGGCAUUUAGGGCCUGACCUCAUCUUGCCAAGGGGCUGAAUGUCUCAGGGUGACCAGAUGUCCCAAUAUUUGGGGCUUUUUCUUACAUGGGUGCCUAUUACCCCCCACCCUCUGUCCUGAUUUUUCAUACUUGCUAUCUGGUCACCCUAGAAUGUCUUCAGCUCCCAGUGAAGUCGAAGGAGAAUUGGUCACUCAGCCCUUCUCAGCAUUGGGCUCUCAGUGAUGCUCUGAGAAGGCUGGUGAAGUGUUAUGUAGAGUGUAGAGUUCAUCUGCUGUAAGUGCAGGGCACAGAACACAAUUUGAAGGCCCUUCUGUGCCUCCUGCUGUUAUUUCACUGGUUAACCUGAAUUUCUGAUAUGCAGAUUAGACAUAGUGGGCUGAAAGACUCUCUAAUGCAGGGGUCCCCAAUGCGGUGCCCAUGUACUGCCCGGUGGACAAGCAUCUGCCGAAAUACCGCCAAAAAGCGGCGUCAUCAAGAGGUGUUGCCGCCAAAAUGCCACUGAUUUUCGGCGGGUUUUUGGCGGCGACACCUCUUGACGUUGACACUUCUUGGCGGCAUUUUGGUGGAUGUUUGUCCGCCGGCCACGGUCCUCGGUGGCCCGUCGUCCGGCGCCUGCCACCCGGAAAAGGUUGGGGACCACUGCUCUAGUGCAACUCCCCUUAAAUCAGUCAUGUUACACUAGGGAUGAACUUGGCCCAUUAUCUUUCGCAGGAGCUCCCGAAAGUAAAUGCCAUGCACUUUUCCUAGCCUUAUGUGUUACUGUGCACUGUAACUGCAGAGCAACUCAUUAGCUUUAUUUUCAUGUUAUUUAUUUAGAUUUACAUCAUAAAAAGACUCCUAUGCGAGAACUCUAGGGCCCCCAACACUUAAACGUACAACAUAAUAGUGCCCCAGCAGCAUUACAAAGCAAACAUUCUUACAGGAACAAUACCUCAACUUGGCCAUCUACAAAAAGCUCCUUUUCACCUCCAUCAUUCUGGGAACAUCUCAGCUCUUCCCCAAACCCCGAUGAAAGGUGACAAUGUAAUUACUGCAAUGUACCAGCAGAUGGCGACUGGCAUCCUACAAACUCCACUUAAAAGCCUCCUGAACAGGGUUCGGUUCUACACUUGUCUGACACCCCCGUUCAGCAGCCCCCACCCCACACAGCUAAAUCUGCAGUCCCACUCUCUCUGCGUGCUCUCAGACGUGACCAGUACAGUCGUCUUCAACUCUGGAAGGCUACGCCAACAAAACAUCCAGCCUGUGGGAGGAAAAGAUCUUGCAGUGCAAAGCUGCAUCUUUUGGGCAGAAUCUAAUGGAAAUAUAGUGGGGCCAUGCGUUGAAGCAAAGCCUUCUGCAAGCCACAGCAGGACUGAGAGAGGCUGUGAAUACCUUCCAGCUGUCCACACGGAUAUUUGUAUAUAAAGGGUCAGCCUGACUUAGUUGCCUCUAGGACAGAAAGCAUGGGCAAUGCAUUGCAUGCAGUUGGGGGGUGGAGGGGGGAAGGGUUGUAACAUUUGUAGAGGUGCUGAUCUCCACGUGCAACAUUAGGCUGCUCCUGUGUCUUUCCAGAAGGAACUGAAAUGUCCCAAGGCACGUUUUAAAAAAAGAAUCCGGAACAGAUGUGUGUGUCCUGGGCAAUAAACCAGGUGACAACGGC